ensembl:lincRNA
AACAUUGAUUCACCCGGACUCUUUCGGUUACAAGUGUCAGAAACUAAACUUACUGAGUUAAGCCAAACUGGAACAAUGGGUUCAAACAGCAGAGAAGUCCAGGAGUAAGCUGGCCCAGGAAGCCCAGUGACUUAGACAAUGUGAUUACAUUUUACCAUCUCCCUCUAUCUCCAAGCUCAGGUUCUACCUGUUGUCCUCUUCCUUUUCUAUAGAUUGGCUUCUUCCUCAUGGCCAGGUUGAAUGAGAAAAUGGUAAAAGAGGUGUGGAUGCAGACAACUCUAGGCGUUCAUUUCCUACUUAGUAACACCAGAGCUUCUCUAUUCCAUUGUCUCUCUCUAUGAAACUGCAGGGAAGAACUCUGAUUGGCCUGAAUUGGGUCAUGUGCUCAUCCCUGUGGCCAUGGAAACCAGUUACUAUGAUUGGCCAGGCCUACUUUUUAUGUUCAUUCCUAUGGCUGCAGGGCCAUGUCCUGCGAUUGGCAGCUCCUCACAACCACAUGGAGUGGAAGAGCUGUCCCUAGAAAUAAGGUGCUUGGUAUUCUGAGAGCCUCUCUGUUGCCACUGUGCUCUUUCUUUCCUGGACAACUGCAGCCACCAUAGUCCUGCGCCCUCACCUCCAGUUGAGCUCUCCUCCAGGCCAUGCUGCACCAGCAAGUCAGAUCAUGCCACUCCCCGUCUUUGAGGAGCAAUUGCUUGAAAACCUGUGAUAGCAAAACUGUACAAGUGGGGAGAUUAUUUGAUUUCCAAGAUAUAACCAAUCAUGCUGUCCCCAGAACUGCCCGGGAAGAAACUCCCAAUCUGAGAACAGGCACAUGGCUCGAAUUAUCAGAAAAGUCGCUGAGAUAAGACAUGCAUGAUCUCCUUCCUAAAGAGGACAAGAAUGACAGCCACAUCAUCUGGAGAAGGCAGCCAGGGAAGUACUCAAGAGAAAACACUUCUGUGGGUGACUUGAAGAAGCUGGUCACCAUAUGGUUGUGGACCAAGCUUCACCUUUUUGCAGAUUUCUGUUCCAGCAAGUUACUCCCCCAGAUCCCACCUAUUUUAAAAGCAACUCCCAGAGAAAGAAAGGCUUGGCAGCCAACAGAUGACCACCACAUUCUCUCCCACAAGUCAUCUGAUUUCAAAAGGCAAGUUCUGUUCACAGGAAGGAGAGUAUCCAUACAAGUCCAAGUUCAGUGAGAGGGACUGUCCUGUAACCUGGAAGCCAAGGACUGGAAUGCCCUCAUUGACUUAUUCUGAUUCAUAAACUUUAAAUUACUAAAAGAGGUUAACAACUUCAACAUGUGGCAUAAUCCAGCGAUUAAUUUGUUCAAAUAAGAGAAAAAAGUUUAACUUUGUAACAAUAAUAUGAACACAAAAACAUUUCCUGGGAGCAAAAAAAAAAGUGGCUUUGAAAUUCUGCCUUUUAUCUUCCUGGGAAAAGCAAGAGCUUACAAACUGGGGUGGGGGGGAAGGUUUCUUUUUGGUAAACUCAUAGGCCUUUGGCCACUGCUUCCCUUCCACCUCAAUUGUUUUCUUCUGAUCUAUGCAUUGACCAUGUAGAAAUGUUCAAAUGAAAGCACCCGGUCAUUUUUACUUAUCUUUCUUAUUUUUUCUAGAAAGAGGCCUUGAUAUAUUCUAGUUUCACAAGUGAUUUUGCUAGAUUUUUGCCAUUACGAAUCUGUUUCGCUUUAACUGCAAACCACCUGAUUCUGAUUUUCCCUAGCCAUAAAUCUGAAUUUUUACUACAUUUUAUCUGAGAUUCACAACAGAUGGGCUAUGAACCAAGAAAAAUACAAUGGGAGGAAAGAAAAGAUAAAAUUAUUGGGCAACGACUACACAGAAGAUGGACCAACCCUGAGACAGGAUAUAAAGAAGGGUGAAGGGGGUAGUCCCAGUGAAGUAGAAAGAAGAAAACCAUUUUCUUCAUAAAACUAUAGAAACAGCAGUGUUUACCUUUAGUGUUGUUGCUACGCAGAAGAAGAGAAGGUAUCUUGGCAUUUUAUCAACCAUAUUUUUAUGUACUGCCAUCAAGAAUUUCUUUUCACUGCCUCCAUAUAUUUCUUGGUCAGGCAACCAUUUUCAAUGAUACUAAAUCCAUCUACUCCCAUAUAUCUGGCCCAGAACAACUCAAUCAGACAUUUUUUUAAACCAGCCCUAUGAAAAGAUGUUUUGCAAAGCUAAUGACCAACCAAUCCUGAGGAUAGCCAUCCACACAUUUUAGUGAAAGGACAGGUUAGAGAAGAAUCACUUGACUAAAGAAAUGCUUACAAUGGGCUGGGCCGGUGGCUCAUGCCUGUAAUCCUAGCACUUUGGGAGGACGAGGCAGGUGUAUCACCUGAGGUCAGGAAUUCACCAUCAGCCUGGCCAACAUGGCAAAACCCUGUCUCUACUAAAAAUACAAAAAUUAUCCAGGCAUGGUGUUACAUACCUGUAAUCCCAGCUACAUGGGAGGCUGAGGCAGGAGAAUCAUUUGAACCCAGGAGGCGGAGAUUGCAGUGAGCCGAGAUUGUACCACUGCACUCCAGCCUGUGUGACAGGAGUGAGACUCCAUCUCAAAAAAAAAAAAAAGAAAGGAAAGAAAAGCCUACAAUGUUAAAGGUUAUGCUAACAUUUAUGGCCAAAGGCAGAAGGGCAAUAUAUAUACUAUGAUACAAAAGAUUUACAUAGGAAAAGUUCAGUUCACCAGAUAUGCACUCUGUACAUGAUGCCAACCAGGUUACUUGAAAGUCACACAUUAAAACAGCUGUCUUCACAUUUGCUAGUUGCUAUCUAAUUUCUAUAGGGUCUUGGUCCUGUAAAAUUUUUCUAAUAUACAUUAUUGGGUUUUUUAAAAUCUUUUAAUAGAAAUUCAAGAGUGAGUAUUUACUGCCUAUAUCUGAUAGAAGAAUCCCAUUUCUCAUGAGAAAAUCAAUGGAUAAAACUCAGCAUUUCUUCAAAACCAAAACUUCCUUUAUCAAAACCUGUAGAAUACAGGUUUCAGCAAAAUUCGUAAAAGAUUCAGAUCAAAUUUCGGUUUCUUAUUGAUUUUCAGGAGGAUUAAUCUCUUUUAUAUUAAAAGUUCA